AACAAAAAAGUAAAAUUUACAUUUAAUUUCGACUUAAAUUUAGGAGCUAAUUUCCUAUGUUA
rnacentral:tRNA from 1 species